rnacentral:lncRNA from 1 species
ACCUCCCGUCUGCCUGGAACAUUGCAGCUGAAGCCUCACUAAGAAGUCUGGCUCCAGUGCGUUGAGACAAGAGCAGCCUACACAGAACUGCAGACAAUUGCCUCUGUGCUGGUUCCACGUAGUUGUUUCACUAGCAUAGGCCGUUUGCCAGGAAAGUAAGAGACUAGCAUUUGCCAUGUGGCUGUUUCAAAUUCAUGUUUCAUUUGCUUUCAUGACUGUAUUUUGUUAAUAUCCUCAGCACUGUCUGUGUUUUCCUGCUGUUGUGUUCCUCUCUUCAAAUUCUUUAUUUUUUAGAUUUCUUCCUGUAUCCCAGUCUGAGAUAAAUUAUUGUUAUGGAGAACUGUUGGCUUUUGCCUUCUCCCUACAAGGAAUUUUUCCUUCCUUGUUAUCCCUACACCUUUCCUCUGAACAGACUUACCACUUCUGUGUCACAGGCUUCUAACUUGUUUGGAAGGGUUGGCCAUAUUAUAUUAAGUAUCAGUCAAAAGCUCUACAGAAGCAGGAGGAUGAGGUUCCUGUCAUCAUCUGUUUAUUGUCCAAAUUUGCUUGAUCGGUAUAGAAGGAAGAUGAAGAAAAAUCCAUAGUAGGCCAUUUAGGUAUUAAAGGCUCUGCAAAACCAUUUAUUUCCCCCACAGACAGAAAACCACCCCGUUGUUUUGCUAUCAUUGCUAGUCUUGUCCACCAUUGCUGAACUGGUACAUCCUCCUUCCACACUGACAUCCCCUGGAAACUUUGUCAGUCUCUGUGAUAAGUGGAAUAUGGCUGCAUGGAUGGAUAUCUAUGUUAUAUCCAGAGAUAAAUCUUGGCGGAGUCCCUCUAGAGCUUUUCCUGUUAUCUUCAAGGGCUUCUUCCAAGACUUGGAGGAGGAGUUGGAUAUGGACAGUUGUACUGUCCAAAGAAUACAAUUCUAGCCAUGACUAGAACCUUGAGUCUUCUUAUGCAUCAUGUGAACUGGCAGGGCCCAACAGGGAAGGGUAUUUUGUGUGUUUUCCUUUCAACAUAUUCUUACUGCUUAAAAGAACAACUAAAUUCUUCCUUCUCUAAUAACCAAGUAGGUACAAAGUCCAGGUGCCCCAUCUCUAUUCCUGGAAGAGUAGAGCCAAAUAAAAUGGGAUAUCUGUGCCAUAGGAUCACCAGCUACAAAGCUAGUUUGCCUAAGAGUGGACUGAAAAAGAUACCAGCUAACAGCUGAGCACUCUGAAAACAGGACUAUAACAAUGCAUACUGUGGUUGGUUUAGAAAUCAUUUGCAUGGAUCCUUCAUAAUUUGUGCAUGCCACUAAUUUUAACUGUUGCACUAAACUGCAAUGUAUAGAGAAGAAUGAUUUGUUGUGUCAUUUUCAUAUAAUCCGUCUGAACUCUGCUUGACGCAUGUAAAAUAAUGAAGAUUACUAGAAUAGUGACAGUUUCAGAAAAUCAGUAUAUUGCUUAAGUUUUUAUAUAUUUAUGUGUGUGUAUUUAUAUAUGGGGGAGAGUUAAGCAAUCAAACCUGCAGAAGUUGAGAAAUUUGUUUUGUUUUGUUUUACAUCAAAUAGUUUAAGUCAAAAGUUUUUGUGUUUCACAAGUCCAAAAAUGGGUCACGUGGUUUAUAAAGGUAUCUCCUAGUUAACACAUUUGGUUUCCCAAGCAAGUUGGAAGAGUUUCUCCCAAAUACUUGAUUAAUCUAUGAGAGACAGCAAUUUAUCUGCGGGGUGCACAAACUUCUGCAAGGAAGAUGUUUGUCAUCUAUCCUUAUGUAGUAUUAGAUACAAUUUCAGUAGAAAAGUUCUGUAGACUGUGCAGUUGAAAUUAAGCUCAUCUCAGGCUUAUUGCUUUUGUAUUAAAUUGUGACACACAGAGUCAUGGGUGAAUCCUUAAGCUUCCUCACAAGUACUUAAAUUGAAGGUGAAAAUAAAAUAUAGAAUCUGUAUGGGUAGGGGGGCA